GAAUUAUUGGACAGGCCAGUUUUUGGCAACUACACUUUGCCCUAGGCUGAGCGUCAGGCCCUAUAAAGAGGUGCUCUGCUGCACGACUGCCAUCCUCCUGGUACUCGAGUCCCAACCUCCUUUGGAGAACGUGCUCCGAAGACUCCAGAAAGAUGUCUUCUCAACAGCAGCAGUGCAAGCAGCCCUGCCAGCCCCCUCCUGUGUGCCCACCUAAGUGCCCAGAGCCGUGCCCGCCCCCAAAAUGCCCUGAGCCGUGCCCACCCCCACAGAGGCAGCAGAAAUGCCCUCCUGUGCAACCUCCUCCACCAUGCCAGCAGAAGUGCCCGCCCAAGAGCAAGUAACAGCUUCAGCAGCAUCAGGAUCUGGAAAAGAGAAGGACCAUUGGCUCGCCUGCUUCCACAGCUCCACCUUCACCUUCUCUUCCGAGCCUAUCAUGGUGGCAGAAGCGGCUCCUCCACCCUUCAGCCUGGAAAAUGCCUGUGUGACCCCUGACAGCAAAAGGGUUCCUUCCUGAGGCUGUCACACUGCUCCUCUCCGGGAGGGAGCUGAGGAAGGGCAUCCUCAGCUGUGCCAGCAUCCCAGAGCUUCAGGAGGAAGAGCAGCAGCUCUCUUCCUGGGUGCCAGCAGGGGAGGCUCUUGAUGUCUUCUGUGUCUGUCUGUCCCCUGGGCAGGGGUUUGUAUCACCUGGCAAUUGUUCCUUUUCUUCCAUUUCCUGAAUAAAGUGCCAUUUUGUGGGA
rnacentral:lncRNA from 1 species